rnacentral:rRNA from 1 species
GGGGGCAGAGUGACAGGUGGUGCAUGGUUGUCGUCAGCUCGUGUCGUGAGAUGUUGGGUUAAGUCCCGCAACGAGCGCAACCCUUGAUCUUAGUUGCCAGCAUUCAGUUGGGCACUCUAAGGUGACUGCCGGUGACAAACCGGAGGAAGGUGGGGAUGACGUCAAAUCAUCAUGCCCCUUAUGACCUGGGCUACACACGUGCUACAAUGGACAGAACAAAGGGCAGCGAAACCGCGAGGUUAAGCCAAUCCCACAAAUCUGUUCUCAGUUCGGAUCGCAGUCUGCAACUCGACUGCGUGAAGCUGGAAUCGCUAGUAAUCGCGGAUCAGCAUGCCGCGGUGAAUACGUUCCCGGGCCUUGUACACACCGC